rnacentral:misc_RNA from 1 species
UCAAUCAGUCAAUGCAAGUCGCCGUGUCCACAUCAACAUGCCUUCUAAAACGCCAUCAACGCUACUAGGUCUAACCUUUUUCAGGUUCUCACUUUUCCUAUCUCAAAAGUUAAUUUGUUAAUUGUCCAUUCAACGGGUAAAAUUUUGAGCCUACAACAUUGAAAGUAUUUUCACUAGUGCUCACAUCAUACGGGCAGAGGUCACUUGCAGACAGAAAAUGGGUUUGGGGAGAGAGUCAGAGAUCAGCUUUCGAUCAGGACAGGUUGAGGGGUGAUUUCAGUGUAGCUAAACCACUCAUAAGCUCUCCCAAUGGAGCAGCUUUCAAUAAGCAGAUUCCAUUGUUCCAAGUAGCUGACAAUCCCAGGACAGAUUCCAAAAAUUUCAGGGAUUCGUCAUUAAAGGAAAGCCGUCCUCGCUACCAGGUGUUCGAAGGAGGUGAAAAUUCAGGAGGCAUUGGCGAACCGAUCCCUUCAGCGGCCAGCAACUUUGGCCCCUUGAACCGCCCCAACAAUGGUCCCAUAAAUGGUCCUAUAAAUGGCCCCAUAAACGGCCCCUUGAAUGGCCUUGGCCCCUUGAACGGUCCAGGUCCGUUAAACGGUCUUCCGCCCCCGCGACCAGCCCAUCAUCAACCACCCCCGAAUCCUGCCAACGGUGUUCUCACUGGACCGGUGCCUUCCUGGGAACAACCGCCUCCACCAAAGAACGGUGACCCGACUAGCUUUGAUUCGUGCAAAUGUGUGCAUUCUUUCAACUGCAAAUCGCCUGGACUACAGUUUGGAAGCUGUGAUACGGGAAAGCAGUAUUGCUGUACAAACAACCAAGGAUAUGGAUUGCAAGCAGCUGGCGCAGGAGGAGGUGGCUUCGGUAGUAAAUACGGUUCAAAUUUUGGCGGCAACAGAGAUGAUCUCCCUGCAGUACUUGCUGGUCCCGGCGGACCCGUAGACAAAAUACCGGGUCGGUUUCCCCCUCCACUCACCAGUGACCGACUUCCAUUCGAUGUCUACAUAAGGAGCAAUAAUGUAAAAAAGAACUGAUCAAUAUUUGUACCAAUAUAAAUUAUUCAUACAUAACGGCACUCAUAGUUACCAUAUUUUGUGAUAUCAUCAUCAUCAUCAUUGACUAUACGGUCAAAUUCGCAGUAUCAUUGUGUAUAGUAUGUUUCUUUAUAAGAAUAAUAUUUAUACAAUUCCAAAACUAGUUGAAUUGAGGAUGAGCCAAUAAAAAUUGUUUAAACUCCAAAUCAAAACUGAUGUAAACAUAGACUUCCUUUCAAUAUAAUCAGAAUGGAAGAGAAUAAUAAAAUAGUAUAAGAGUAUUAAUAAAUUAGAUAACUCACAAAAUACUAGAUACUCGUAUUUUCAUUCAUAUCCACCUUUUAGAUUAUUUCUAUUUCUUAUACUUUAUAGAAUUGAAUAGCAUUUUGACUGCCUUAACGUUUUGUUUCGGAGUGCGAACUUUUUGAAGUGUGAGUGGGAGCGCAGCCGGUGCACUGUUGACAAUUGACUACAAUGGUAUACAUAUAGAGAGUGUUUCAGAAGUAGUGUCGAACAUUUUAGGAUAUUGUUCCUGGAUGAUAGGAGACUACAAAUGAUGUAUUUGAAGCGUCCAAAACUCAACGGUUAUCCUUAUAGCUGCCAUUUUGUUUUUUUUUUCACUUAGAAUUUUUUAU